ACGCUUGAAGUCAGUCGCGUUGGCUAGAAAUCAGCCUUGCUCUUGCUCGGUGUACUUUCUUGUCGACGGGUCAGCAUCAGUUUCGACCAUUGGAGAAGGACAUUGGGAAUGUGGCAUCCUUGGAUGUGUUAUAGCCCGUUGUCGCAUACGAUGGUUGGGAUUGAGGAACUCAGCACGCCGCAAGGCCGGGUCUCUGACCACGUUCGUGCUUAGGAUGCUGGCAUAAUGGCUUUAAUCGACCCGUCUUGAAACACGGACCAAGGAGUC
rnacentral:rRNA from 1 species